UACGAAGGGGCUAGCGUUGUUCGGAAUUACUGGCGUAAGCGCGCGCAGGCGGUCUUCCAAGUCAGUGGUGAAAGCCCGGAAGCUCAACUCCGGAACUGCCAUUGAAACUGUUAGACUUGAGGAUGAGAGAGGUGAGUGGAAUUCCCAGUGUAGAGGUGAAAUUCGUAGAUAUUGGGAAGAACACCCGUGGCGAAGGCGGCUCUCUGGGACGGUACUGACGCUGAGACGCGAAAGCGUGGGGAGCGAACAGG
rnacentral:rRNA from 1 species